rnacentral:lncRNA from 1 species
GGUUUGUAACUGUUCAAUGUUGCACGCUUAGUUUCUGUGUCUUGUGUUGUUUGAAUCUUCAAUACACAAUGAAAAGCAUGUGGCUGACGUUGGAUGCACGGAUGACUUUGGGUACAUGGCUGUCUUCGGGUACAUGGCUACUUGUGUUGUUACCACAUGUCAUAACAGUAAGCACGCCGUCAUCCCCCCUCAACAUCACCUGUUUUACAAAUGGAUCUAUCAACGUUCUUCAGAACAACUCUAAUAAUCCUGAGAUAUUUGUGGUUGGAAGCAGACCCGCUUGUUCUGAUGCUGAGAAACAUUUCACAGUUGACUCCAGGGGACACUUGCUGAAUACGUCAU